rnacentral:rRNA from 1 species
ACACGAGCGGCGAACGGGUGAGUAACACGUGAGCAACCUGCCCCUGACUCCGGGAUAAGCGGUGGAAACGCCGUCUAAUACCGGAUACGACCCGCCACCUCAUGGUGGAGGGUGGAAAGUUUUUCGGUCAGGGAUGGGCUCGCGGCCUAUCAGCUUGUUGGUGGGGUAACGGCCUACCAAGGCGAUUACGGGUAGCCGGCCUGAGAGGGCGACCGGCCACACUGGGACUGAGACACGGCCCAGACUCCUGCGGGAGGCAGCAGUGGGGAAUAUUGCGCAAUGGGCGAAAGCCUGACGCAGCGACGCCGCGUGGGGGAUGACGGCCUUCGGGUUGUAAACCUCUUUUACCACCAACGCAGGCUCCCAGUUCUCUGGGGGUUGACGGUAGGUGGGGAAUAAGGACCGGCUAACUACGUGCCAGCAGCCGCGGUAAUACGUAGGGUCCGAGCGUUGUCCGGAAUUAUUGGGCGUAAAGAGCUCGUAGGCGGCGUGUCGCGUCUGCUGUGAAAGACCGGGGCUUAACUCCGGUUCUGCAGUGGAUACGGGCAUGCUAGAGGUAGGUAGGGGAGACUGGAAUUCCUGGUGUAGCGGUGAAAUGCGCAGAUAUCAGGAGGAACACCGGUGGCGAAGGCGGGUCUCUGGGCCUUACCUGACGCUGAGGAGCGAAAGCAUGGGGAGCGAACAGGAUUAGAUACCCUGGUAGUCCAUGCCGUAAACGUUGGGCGCUAGGUGUGGGGACUUUCCACGGUUUCCGCGCCGU